rnacentral:lncRNA from 1 species
GGGGCUCCUGCUGGACCCGAGCUCAGGAGCUGCGCCGUGGGGCUGAGUGGGGAUGGUGGGGAGAGCACCCGCUGCCCUGGGGAAGGGGAACGCUGAAGCCGUGGGCCGGUCUGGUCCCCACCAACUGUCCUUUUCACUCGGAUAUUGAGCAUGCCAUUGGAGGAGUCAAUAAUCUGCAUGGCAGAAGCAUGGGAGAGGCCAGCACAUGACUUUCCAUUGAUAGAUACCAGCA